AGCGAACGUUAGCGGCGCGCCUAACACAUGCAAGUCGCACGAGAAACGGAGCAAUCCGCGGUACAGUGGCGCACGGGUGAGUAACACGUGGAUGACCUUCCCUGGAGUGGUGGAUAACCUGCCGAAAGGCGGGCUAAUACAGCAUGGGACCACGACGCUUUGGCGAUGUGGUGAAAGCGGGCCUCUAUAUAUAAGCUCGCGCUCCGGGACGGGUCCGCGUCCCAUCAGCUAGUUGGUGAGGUAACGGCUCACCAAGGCAACGACGGGUAGCUGGCCUGAGAGGAUGGCCAGCCACACUGGAACUGAGACACGGUCCAGACUCCUGCGGGAGGCAGCAGUGGGGAAUCUUGCGCAAUGGGCGAAAGCCUGACGCAGCGACGCCGCGUGGGCGAAGAAGGCCUC
rnacentral:rRNA from 1 species